rnacentral:rRNA from 1 species
UACGGAGGGGGCUAGCGUUGUUCGGAAUUACUGGGCGUAAAGCGCACGUAGGCGGCUUUGUAAGUUAGAGGUGAAAGCCCGGGGCUCAACCCCGGAAUUGCCUUUAAGACUGCAUCGCUAGAAUUGUGGAGAGGUAAGUGGAAUUCCGAGUGUAGAGGUGAAAUUCGUAGAUAUUCGCAAGAACACCAGUGGCGAAGGCGGCUCACUGGCCCGAUACUGACGCUGAGGCACGAAAGCGUGGGGAGCAAACAGG